CAAGGAUCUCAGGUUGUGGAUCCUUCAUUGGUAAAGCUUUCCUCUGCGAACCUGGCAUCUUCUGAUAUGACAAAGAAAACGAAUCCCACAAACCCUGGCAGACCUGCAAAGGUGAGAACUGUGAACAGGAGGAAGAAACAUAGUACAUCUCCACGGCCUGGAUCACACAGGACCCACAAGAAUUGGGCCCUCCUUGGAACUUUAUGAAGGUACAAAAGUAAGUAAAGUACUUUGCACUUUAUAAAGGUACAGCCUUUACAUUUUCUCUCUCUUCAAUAUUAACAGACAGAAUAUAUGUUAUCAAACAAGUUGACCACACAGAUAUGCCAAAAUGGUAAUGCCAUGACUUCUUAACUGUUAUGCACCCUCCUUUGACAUACAGUAUGGGCUCACUCUUCAGGGAGCUUUUUGCAAAGCAGACCUGUAAGAUCGAUGGGAGAAGACUGUUUUACUUCUCAUUCUUUGUAAUUUUGUUUACUUUCCAGGCUGAUUUUGCUUUUAUUCUUAUUGUUUAAGCUCUUAAAUUUAUGGCAAGCUGUAGCAAGAGCCAGCUGGCAGCAACCAAAGAGGCUGUGCAAGCUUUUCUCAUCUAUGGGCUAUUGUCCCACCAGCUGCAAGCCGACAGCUGGAGACCAGCAUGCAAGACUCUGAGGGGCACCUCACUGCUGUAGGAUAUCCCUGAGAGACCAUAGGUGACAUUCUGCUUCUUCAGGCCAUCUGGAAGCUAUGUGGAUGCUACAGGAUGCUCUUGGAGAAAAGACCAGACCCAGGGUAUGGUACACACAGCUAUUCAUUUCUUUGAUGACAGUCAAGGAGACUCAAGCACUGUUAAAUACACUUAACCAGCAUCACAGAAAAUGUGGGACACCUAUUCAGUGAUAGAGGUUAGUGGGAACUCUGAGUUAUCGCUGCUUUUUUAUACAGUCAGAACUUAUCGAAGGACUUUCAGAUAAAGGGAUUUUCAGAAUUCAGGGAAUAUGUGCCAAGCUUAAAUAAAGCACAAGUAGGUAAAUAAAUGGAAUGAUUAUUUUUCAAGCAAGGAGCUAGACCUACUAAACUUGAGAGCUAACUUCUGUGGCUUUGGUUCAAGACCAACUCUACUUCUGUGUCAGUUUUUAAACAACUGUUUGCUCUUGCAGUACUGCCUAUCAUCUGACCCUGCAGUGAUGAUACAGCACUGAAUUUUGACCUUCAGCUUCCCAAGCAAAAGUUGGUCUAAAGAGGAUGCCCAUGACUAAUUUUAGCCAAAAGCUUCCCACGCUAGAUAUCCUUUAUUUUCACUUCUCUGUGUAUGUAUCUAUAUAUGUGUGUGUAUGUAUGUAUAUAUAUAUAUAUGUAUAUAUAUAUAUGUAUAUGUAUAUAUACAUACAUACACACACACACUUUGCAUUACUGUGGAAAUCCCACCUCAAAGAAUGUGAGAGAUGCAUCCUUCAGCAUUUGUAAGUCUGCAGUGUAGCUCAGCUCAUGAACUCAAGCUUUCACACACAGGCUAGGAGUGAAUUGUGGUAGUGACCCCGAAGUCAAUAUCUCAUUGGAGCCUCACUGUGGGAGAAGGGCCAAAGAUUUGGUUUUCAUUCACAACCCACUCAUAUCUUUGUAUUGCCUGACUAAGCAAGCCAGCCUGCAAACAGUCAUUCUGGGGCCAGACAAGAUCCCAAGCAAUACCUGAAAAGAUUUCUGAACACUCAGGAAGAUAGUUUACAAAGUGCCCUUGGCACAGGAGCAAAAACUCAACAGUAUCAUCUUGUUUAAAAUUAACCUCUGGGCUGCGGUACCUACUUGGAUAGAGCAUACAAGAGUCUAAAGGUCCCCCUACUCCUUCCCCAUACCACCCCACCCCCAAAACAAGAAGAAAAGAAGAACCCAAAAGAAACUAUUUCAGGUAGCAAUACAAGACAUUAGGACUGUCCACAGCGAUGGGCUUACAACACAUAAAUAGAUUUAUUCUACAUAUAAGCAACAAAAAUAGCAAGAAACCCAAGCAACAGACAUGUUUUGCUCUGUGUACAUCCCAGAUUCCAACAUGUCUCAUGAGUGUCUGCAUUUCUGCCAAUGAUUUGGAAAAAAAGAGCCUCAGUCUCACAGAGAAGCAAAUCUUGACUCAAGACUUGUCUCACAACUUUCAGGAUUCAAUAGAACAGCUCUUAGGUCUUACACUGUUCAGCAUAUGCAAGGAUCAGCUAUUAAUAGAUUUAAAAAUGAAAAAAAAAAAAAAAAGACAAAAGAAACCCCAAACAACUUUUACCCCAUACGCUAACAGCCACCUUUACAAGAACACCACACAAGAAGAACUGAAGAAAAUCGGGUGAAAAGGACUGUCUCCAUAGCAUUUCUAACUCAGAAAUCAAAGAUUUUCCUUGAAGUCAGUAGGAAUUUUAUAUAUAUUUAUAUAAUAUAUAUAUUAUUCAUAUCACUAGCAAUCAGCAUGUACUUAACAAAGAGGUGGUAUGAAGGGCAGCAAAACUGAUACAGCAUGUGGUAGACAACUGAAAGGAUAAGCACUUUAAAAAGUAGCAAUAACUGGAGGAUAAGAAGCCUGCAGCCAUUUCCAAAAACAAAUGCGCUCACCUGACAUAAAAUGUUAGAAUCAUAGAACGGCUCAGGUUGGAAAAGAUCUUAAAGAUCACCAAGUCCAACCACAACCUAACCAAAUUACUCUAACCCUAACAACCCUCUGCUAAAUCAUGUCCCUGAGCAAACAUAGCAGCGAUGUUACAGUGAUCUCUAAGCAUUUGCUCUAUCUCCCAGACUAAGCCCAAGUGAUGGGACAGCCUUUUCCCAGACGGUGUUUCUCCAGUUAAUGGAGCAGUGUGGCCUUCCUCUCAGGGCGCUGCCCCACGAGAUGGCAGUGUGCCCACACCACACAGCCUCCCGUAGAACUUGACAUCACUGGCAGCCAGCUGGCCUUGCUGCCCACCCUCCUCUGUGAGGGACGCCACACGGUCUAUUCCCCUGCUGCACAGCAUCAACAGGCUCUGCCUCACAGACUGGAAGAAAUUCAAAAAAAGAGAAAGAAAAUAGCUUUUUUUGGAGUGGGAUCUCAUGUGAGCAGUGGUGGCAGUGAGGUGUGGAUCCAUGGAAGAAACAAAAGGCAGCUCACACAUUCCCUGCAAAGGCAGAUGGAGAAUUGGACAGAGAAACUGUCCCAUUUGUGACCGCAGCAAGUUUUUACCAGUCCGGAUGGAAGACGACCAGCUCCAUCUCCUGGUGAUGGUGAUGCCAUUGCCCCGCCAGGCAGUGAUAUCCUUCACUACCGUUCAUUAUGGAUCCUCCUAUGUCUCAGUAAAUCCUUUUUUACAGUGAAACAGCAGAAGGAUAAUGCCCUAAAUUCAAAAUACUUUAAGAAUAUUACUAAUCUAUUUUUCUUGAAGUUGAUAUUGAAAGAGUAGGUCAAAUAGCUCACACAGAAAGAAGUCUUGAAGUGAACCAGUUAACUCUGAGCCACUUCCUCACAAUGCCCAGUGACAAAGGUGCAUGCAUUUCACACCUAUCAAGAACUCAUAGCUAGGAGUACAAGCGAGCCUAGAUGAGAGCCUAAAAAAGACAGGCAAAAGAGGAAGGAGCUGAAAGAAAGUCAAGGUCAUGCACCUGCCCUAGGAAAGGAGUUCCACAGGAGGAAUGCAUGGGAAAGGUGAAGAAACACACAUCAGAUACAGCUACUUACACCUGAAGAUGGAACAGAAGGGAGGAAAGCUAAGACCUUCAGCUCUAAGGUGGAUAAAAAAAACGUAGGAAAAGGCAGAACUGUAAGCCCUGGUCAAAGCCUCAUGAAGUCAAAAGCAAGAUUCCCAUUAGCACUGCAGAGCACAGCAUAAGAAAAAAGAUGGUUAGUUGUGAAAAAAAUGCCCUCAGCAUCUCCCUGUUCUGGUAAAAACACAGAGGUUUACACGGGCAAGAUGUGUAACUUUGAACUGGUGAUGAAAGUUAAAUUUUAUGUCCUCAAGUCCCUGGAUUUGACUGGAAGUCUGAUUUGCAUACUGCUGGCUAACCACUGAGAAAAUGAGUGCUUUGUGAUCACUGCUCAGUGUGUAAAGAAAGUACCACUGGUGUCGGAGAGCUGAGAAAUUUAAAAAAACGUCCCAAGCCAGUAGAAAUGUCAAAUGGGAAAAAGGUCAGAUGAAAUUUUCCUUUAAUUUUGACCAAUGACAUUUUCAAAGUUACCUUUAAAGGCACAAUUUUGAAAGCCUUGGGUAAAGCACAUAAAAACAAAACAAAACAACAACAAAAGAACCCAAGUCUGAGGAAGAACAAUGAGUGGGAAUAUAUGCAUGGGUGGAAGUGGCUGUUGGUGCAUAAUAGCAAUAACCAGAGCCUGGUCUAAACCUGGGGUCUAAACCUGGAGCUGAUGAGACAGAAAAGAAAAAAAUCUUCGCAUCAAGAACAGCAGACAAACAGAACUGUAAGUUAAACCACUGCAAUCUUGUUGCUGUGUUGUAUUUAAAGGUCAAUCUUUUCACAGAGCAGAAAAUGAAAUAGGUUUGCAGUAACAACUGAUAGAAAUAAUAAAAAAAUUAGGUCCUUUUGUCAAAUUCCCAUUCCACCGGCUUGCAGCAGCCAAGAGGGGUGUAGCAGAGAACUAAAUGUACCCAACAGGCUAGCAGGGACCGCACCACACUGCCCAUGCAGAGGGGCUGCAGGCAAAAAGCUGCAAGGCAUGGGUUGACCACUUCACCACUCGAUACUUGCCAUGGCUUCCAGCUCAAGAGGAGAGUAAGAGAUGUGCUGAGUGAGCCUCAUGCAGUGGACACACAAAUCAGGUACUCAGCAUCAGUGCCUCCAUACCCUUGCACUUGUUCUUCUGAACCAGAGGGUCUGUGUAUUCGGCUUGGGAGACUGGAUGGGACUGGCCAAGCAGCACCAUUGCAGGCAUCUACAAACCAGAUUGUUUCUUGGAGUACUAGCAGACUAGGCAGAUGCCAAACAUCCCCACUAGGUUCAGAUUACUGUCUUCAGUGAAGCAUUACCAGUUUUUAUACCCUUUUUGCAUCAAGCAUUAUGCACAGCAAGGCUAACAUGGAAUGACCACCCCUUCUUUGCUAGGGGAGGUCUCUGGAGGGAUGACAGACAGAAGGGGAGAAUGGACAGCAUAUAGAGGAAAGCUUCUUAGAAGACCUUCAGGAAGGGGACAGUAGGUUCAAUAAAAAUGGGAACAACUUAUCCUGUUGCUGACAAAACUACAAAUAAAGUAAUGAUGAUAAUAAUAUUAAUAACUAUAAUCCUUGCACUAGAUACUAAUAAGUAAAUAAUUAUCAUAGCAAAUUCUCCUUUCUUUUUUCAGGCUUUUUUUGUUUGUUUUUCCCCCUAACCACUCUGAAUUGCUAUAUGGUGGGAUUGGAUAUGCAAAGUGGUAGAAAGGGUCUUGUUACACUUUGAAUUGAAAACUGACUCCUACCCUAUAGUCCCACUGUCUUACAGCCAUUUUCCACCAAAGCUCAGUGGGGGGCUCCUUUCGGGAAAAGAUGGGAAUGGUAUGUGUGUUCCUGCUUAGCACCCAGAGUACCUGCUUUCCAGAUGCAUGCCUCUUAAACACUGAUAUUUUUUUUGUUUGGUUUUUUUUUUUUUUUUUUUUUUUUUU